CAGUAGCCGCGGGAAUACGUAGGGCGCAAGCGUUGUCCGGAAUUAUUGGGCGUAAAGAGCUCGUAGGCGGUCUGUCGCGUCUGGUGUGAAAUCCCGAGGCUCAACCUCGGGCUUGCAUCGGGUACGGGCAGACUAGAGUGCGGUAGGGGAGACUGGAAUUCCUGGUGUAGCGGUGGAAUGCGCAGAUAUCAGGAGGAACACCGAUGGCGAAGGCAGGUCUCUGGGCCGCAACUGACGCUGAGGAGCGAAAGCAUGGGGAGCGAACAGGAUUAGAUACCCGUGUAGUCCCUGUCUCUUAUAU
rnacentral:rRNA from 1 species